CGAGCAAGCCAGACAGCCGCGGGUGCAGCGCCGAAAGGUCGCAUCUGAGGAAAGUCCGAGCUCCACAGGGCAGGAUAGCGGGCAACGCCCGCCGGAGGCGACUCCAGGGACAGUGCAACAGAGAUAUACCGCCGGGUUUCGGCCCGGCAAGGGUGGAAAGGCGAGGUAAGAGCUCACCGGCGCGCAGGAGACUGCGCGGCCCUGCAAACCCUAUCCGGAGCAACACCCGUAGGGGAGUUAUACGCUAGCCCGGCGUUAUCCCCGUGAUGGUGGCGUGAGCCGUGUGGCAACGCACGGCCAAGAUAGAUGGCUGUCAAAAACAGAACUCGGCUUACAGACUUACUCGCACC
rnacentral:RNase_P_RNA from 2 species